GAAGAACCUUCAGAUGUGUUUGGCCUUCCUAACUUUACAUAGAUGUGCAUCCGAAUAAGACAAAACAAUGAGACAAUUCUUCUUGAUUUUCUUCCUGUAUGUUCUUACAUGUCUAGGUCAAGAGGUGACCGUCACUCAAGACAAAACGUUUAUGGUAACCAAUGUGGGAAACUCCAUAAGUUUCCAAUGUGAAUACAGAGGAACAACUGCAACCUAUAACAUCUACUGGUACCAGCAAAAACCAGGCAUGGGGCUGGAGCUCAUAGCUUAUUCUGUGUCAGAAAAUGACCGUACAGUGGAAUCAAAGUUUAGCCACUCGUGGAGCAUGGAAAGAUCUGAAACUACAAAGUCCUCUCUCCAGUGUAAUAAAAUAACCUCCGGGGAGUCGGCCGUGUAUUACUGUGCAGCAAGUUAUCACAGCCGCAAAAAGUUGAGCUGCAGCCAACAGAAAACCUACAUGACUUAG